AGGCAAGUAUACGUCAGAGUCAUGGAUUGGAUUAAAGAAAAAUUCAACUGGAACAUUCAAUUGGGCUUCCGACAACUCCGUCGUUACGUUUACGAGCUGGGACAAUAGUGAACCAAGCAGUGGAGAUUGCGUCUCUAUUUCCAACGGCAUGUGGAGGACUAGAUCUUGCGGUGAAAAUCUGAAGUACAUAUGUCAAAGAGGCACAUACCCAUAGGUUAGCGAUGAUCUCUGAUUCUGGCAACUGGAAGGAACCAUUGG